rfam:Triticum aestivum genome assembly, contig: Triticum_aestivum_CS42_TGACv1_scaffold_342816_4DL
AUACUACUCCCUCCGUUCGGAAUUACUUGCGCGGAAAUGGAUGUAUCUAGACGUAUUUUAGUUCUAGAUACAUCCAUUUCCGAGACAAGUAAUUCCGAACGGAGGGAGUACUAC